GAUGAACGCUGGCGGCGUGCCUAAUACAUGCAAGUAGAACGCUGAAGGAAGGAGCUUGCUCUUUCCGGAUGAGUUGCGAACGGGUGAGUAACGCGUAGGUAACCUGCCUGGUAGCGGGGGAUAACUAUUGGAAACGAUAGCUAAUACCGCAUAACAGUAGAUAUUGCAUGAUAUCUGCUUGAAAGGGGCAAUUGCUCCACUACCAGAUGGACCUGCGUUGUAUUAGCUAGUUGGUGAGGUAACGGCUCACCAAGGCGACGAUACAUAGCCGACCUGAGAGGGUGAUCGGCCACACUGGGACUGAGACACGGCCCAGACUCCUACGGGAGGCAGCAGUAGGGAAUCUUCGGCAAUGGACGGAAGUCUGACCGAGCAACGCCGCGUGAGUGAAGAAGGUUUUCGGAUCGUAAAGCUCUGUUGUAAGAGAAGAACGAGUGUGAGAGUGGAAAGUUCACACUGUGAUGGUAUCUUACCAGAAAGGGACGGCUAACUACGUG
rnacentral:rRNA from 1 species